CGGGACACGUGGUAUCCUGUCUGAAUAUGGGGGGACCAUCCUCCAAGGCUAAAUACUCCUGACUGACCGAUAGUGAACCAGUACCGUGAGGGAAAGGCGAAAAGAACCCCGGCGAGGGGAGUGAAAAAGAACCUGAAACCGUGUACGUACAAGCAGUGGGAGCCUCUUUAUGGGGUGACUGCGUACCUUUUGUAUAAUGGGUCAGCGACUUAUAUUCUGUAGCAAGGUUAACCGAAUAGGGGAGCCGAAGGGAAACCGAGUCUUAACUGGGCGUUAAGUUGCAGGGUAUAGACCCGAAACCCGGUGAUCUAGCCAUGGGCAGGUUGAAGGUUGGGUAACACUAACUGGAGGACCGAACCGACUAAUGUUGAAAAAUUAGCGGAUGACUUGUGGCUGGGGGUGAAAGGCCAAUCAAACCGGGAGAUAGCUGGUUCUCCCCGAAAGCUAUUUAGGUAGCGCCUCGUGAAUUCAUCUCCGGGGGUAGAGCACUGUUUCGGCAAGGGGGUCAUCCCGACUUACCAACCCGAUGCAAACUGCGAAUACCGGAGAAUGUUAUCACGGGAGACACACGGCGGGUGCUAACGUCCGUCGUGAAGAGGGAAACAACCCAGACCGCCAGCUAAGGUCCCAAAGUCAUGGUUAAGUGGGAAACGAUGUGGGAAGGCCCAGACAGCCAGGAUGUUGGCUUAGAAGCAGCCAUCAUUUAAAGAAAGCGUAAUAGCUCACUGGUCGAGUCGGCCUGCGCGGAAGAUGUAACGGGGCUAAACCAUGCACCGAAGCUGCGGCAGCGACACUAUGUGUUGUUGGGUAGGGGAGCGUUCUGUAAGCCUGUGAAGGUGUGCUGUGAGGUAUGCUGGAGGUAUCAGAAGUGCGAAUGCUGACAUAAGUAACGAUAAAGCGGGUGAAAAGCCCGCUCGCCGGAAGACCAAGGGUUCCUGUCCAACGUUAAUCGGGGCAGGGUGAGUCGACCCCUAAGGCGAGGCCGAAAGGCGUAGUCGAUGGGAAACAGGUUAAUAUUCCUGUACUUGGUGUUACUGCGAAGGGGGGACGGAGAAGGCUAUGUUGGCCGGGCGACGGUUGUCCCGGUUUAAGCGUGUAGGCUGGUUUUCCAGGCAAAUCCGGAAAAUCAAGGCUGAGGCGUGAUGACGAGGCACUACGGUGCUGAAGCAACAAAUGCCCUGCUUCCAGGAAAAGCCUCUAAGCAUCAGGUAACAUCAAAUCGUACCCCAAACCGACACAGGUGGUCAGGUAGAGAAUACCAAGGCGCUUGAGAGAACUCGGGUGAAGGAACUAGGCAAAAUGGUGCCGUAACUUCGGGAGAAGGCACGCUGAUAUGUAGGUGAAGUCCCUUGCGGAUGGAGCUGAAAUCAGUCGAAGAUACCAGCUGGCUGCAACUGUUUAUUAAAAACACAGCACUGUGCAAACACGAAAGUGGACGUAUACGGUGUGACGCCUGCCCGGUGCCGGAAGGUUAAUUGAUGGGGUUAGCGGUAACGCGAAGCUCUUGAUCGAAGCCCCGGUAAACGGCGGCCGUAACUAUAACGGUCCUAAGGUAGCGAAAUUCCUUGUCGGGUAAGUUCCGACCUGCACGAAUGGCGUAAUGAUGGCCAGGCUGUCUCCACCCGAGACUCAGUGAAAUUGAACUCGCUGUGAAGAUGCAGUGUACCCGCGGCAAGACGGAAAGACCCCGUGAACCUUUACUAUAGCUUGACACUGAACAUUGAGCCUUGAUGUGUAGGAUAGGUGGGAGGCUUUGAAGUGUGGACGCCAGUCUGCAUGGAGCCGACCUUGAAAUACCACCCUUUAAUGUUUGAUGUUCUAACGUUGGCCCCUGAUCGGGGUUGCGGACAGUGUCUGGUGGGUAGUUUGACUGGGGCGGUCUCCUCCUAAAGAGUAACGGAGGAGCACGAAGGUUGGCUAAUCCUGGUCGGACAUCAGGAGGUUAGUGCAAUGGCAUAAGCCAGCUUGACUGCGAGCGUGACGGCGCGAGCAGGUGCGAAAGCAGGUCAUAGUGAUCCGGUGGUUCUGAAUGGAAGGGCCAUCGCUCAACGGAUAAAAGGUACUCCGGGGAUAACAGGCUGAUACCGCCCAAGAGUUCAUAUCGACGGCGGUGUUUGGCACCUCGAUGUCGGCUCAUCACAUCCUGGGGCUGAAGUAGGUCCCAAGGGUAUGGCUGUUCGCCAUUUAAAGUGGUACGCGAGCUGGGUUUAGAACGUCGUGAGACAGUUCGGUCCCUAUCUGCCGUGGGCGCUGGAGAACUGAGGGGGGCUGCUCCUAGUACGAGAGGACCGGAGUGGACGCAUCACUGGUGUUCGGGUUGUCAUGCCAAUGGCACUGCCCGGUAGCUAAAUGCGGAAGAGAUAAGUGCUGAAAGCAUCUAAGCACGAAACUUGCC
rnacentral:rRNA from 2 species